GAUUUCUUAUAAAAGUUUCAGAAGUUUUAAAAAUUAAAUAUUUUAUAAAAAAUCAACCAAGCUAAAUUGAUUAAAAGCUAGUUCUCAAAAUUUGACUUUAAAUUAAAGCAAGAGUCUUGAUAAAAAAAAAAUAAUCUGAUAAGAAACCCUGCCAAAUAAAUCACCUUCCAAAGCAUACCCCAAAAAAGGCAACUAAAGGGUGAGGGCGUCGCUGCCGACGUUGGCUUCGCUGCCGGCUUUGCUCGGCCUUCACGCAGCUUCCGUUGGCGUGCUUUUUUGCCCUUCCGCGGCGUCCUCCGCUGCCGCCCCCUCCCCCACUACCGUUAGUUGGUUCUAGGCUGGCUCUCUCUCUCUCUCUCUCUCUCUCCCUACAGCCCUCGGCUCUCUCACGGCGAGAGAGAGAGCGUGCUGGACACUGCUGGCUUGCGCCGCUGCCGCUGCCGCUGCCACGAGCAGCGUCGACGGCGACGUCGCGUGAGAGUGGAAAGCGGUGCCAAAAAGCAAUUGUGUUUACGUUUUUCUUUUCAAUUCAAAUUUCGAACUCCGACGCGAACAACGGAGCCGAGAAACAAGAGAACCGAAGACGAGAUUCCAGACGCCUGUUUCGGGGAAAGCACUCUGGCCAGAAUAGUAAAGAUCGCCGGAUAGUUUUUGGGACGGAAUUUGGGAGGGAUUUUCCGGCUUAUUUUUUGCCAAUCGGAGAACAAUUAAUUAAAGUUAAGACUGAAAGAAUAAAAUAAUUAAUAAAGUGACAAAUAAAUAAAAAAUAUAAAAAACUACAAAUUAAAAAAAAAAAAGCUACAAGACAAGACACAAUAAAAAAAAAAACAAAAAAAGUCUAACAACAAAUGAAGGCGCCACCGCGACGUCGACGCAGCGCGCUGCCCGCGUGAGCAGAGCGCUCCUGUGGCUGCGAGUGUGUGUGUGUGUGGGUGUGUGUGAGGUGCUGGCAAUGUCCUUGUUGCUGCUUAGCUUGUAUGUGUGCGUGUAAGUCGGCGGCAAAAAAGUAUCUGAACUGGCGGCCAAAAGUGACGACGACGUCGACGUCGCCGUUGCAGCGCAGUCGCCGCCGGCAGGAGCGGCAGCAGCAGUCGCAGCAGCAACUACUCCAACAACAACAGCAACCACACAAACCACCACAUUAGCAACAACAACAACAACAACAUACAGAUCAAGGAAUUUGUUGAAAGCCACCGCCAAAGU